rnacentral:rRNA from 1 species
UACGUAGGGGGCAAGCGUUGUCCGGAUUCAUUGGCGUAAAGCGCGGGCAGGCGGCCCGCUCAGUCGGCCGUGAAAGCGCCGGGCUCAACUCGGCGAGGUCGGGCGAUACUGGCGGGCUCGAGGCUGGUAGAGGGCGGUGGAAUUCCGGGUGUAGUGGUGGAAUGCGUAGAGCUCCGGAGGAACACCAGUGGCGAAGGCGGC